GACGAACCGUGCGAACGUUGUUCGGAUUCACUGGGCUUAAAGGGCGCGUAGGCGGGCGGUCAAGUCAGGGGUGAAAUCUUUCGGUCUAACCGGAAAAGGGCCUCUGAUACUGGCCGUCUCGAGGGAGGUAGGGGCAUGCGGAACUUCCGGUGGAGCGGUGAAAUGCGUAGAUAUCGGGAGGAACACCAGUGGCGAAGGCGAUCAUCUGGGGUUGUUCUGACACUGAGGAGCGAAAGCUAGGGGAGCAAACGGG
rnacentral:rRNA from 1 species